AAAGGGUGGUUCCUAACGGAUCUUUAUCCUAUAUAUAUAUAUAUAUAUCUAUAGGAUAAGGAUCCGUUAGGAACCACCCUU
rnacentral:pre_miRNA from 11 species